rnacentral:sRNA from 1 species
GCCGGGCGUGGUGGUGCGUGCCUGUAAUCCCAGCUACUCAGGAGGCUGAGGCAGGAGAAUCCCUUGAACCCGGGAGGCGGGGGUUGCAGUGAGCCAAGAUCACACCACUGCACUCCAGCCUGGGCAACAGAGCGAGACUCUGCCUCAA